ACACACCCGCCCGUAGAGUUUCAUCGCGACCGACCGGAAAUACGACGGGGUUCGCGGCACGUAAAUAAAUAGACGGGACGCGCCGACGACGAUAUACUGGUUGGAGGGGGGGGGGCGCGUUCUACUUUCGCGGAAGACAGACAGACGGCAAUGGGCAUUUAUCAUCAAAUUAUAGUUUGAAUCUCGGGAUGGGGGUGAAACGUUCACAAAGCCGUUAUAUUGUAUUCGCAGCGCCAUAAUUAUGAAAUCCUGUCCAUUAAUUCGUUAUUUACAGGGAGGUGCGAUCACUGCCCCCCCCCCCACGGAUGAUGACAAAUAUAUAAACAAAACUGCCGAGAAAUUGCUU